rnacentral:rRNA from 1 species
GUCCAGCCUGCCCAGUGACUCUGUUCAACGGCCGCGGUAUCCUAACCGUGCAAAGGUAGCGUAAUCACUUGCCCUUUAAAUAAGGUCUGGUAUGAACGGCACCACGAAGGUUUAACUGUCUCCUUUUUCUAAUCAGUGAAACUAAUCUCCCCGUGAAAAAGCAGGGAUGAACCCAUAAGACGAGAAGACCCUAUGGAGCUUUAAAUAUUAACAACAUUUGUCUCUCAAUCAUAUAAACAGCAUACAUGUUGUUAAUUUUUGGUUGGGGCGACCACGGAGUAAAACUCAACCUCCCUGUUGAAACUCGCUAAAACCACAAUUUAAGCACCAAUAAACUGACAUCCAUUGACCCAAUAUUUUGAUCAACGAACCAAGUUACCCUAGGGAUAACAGCGCUAUCCACUUCAAGA